rnacentral:rRNA from 1 species
GGGUCUGGGCGGCAGCUAACACAUGCAAGUCGAGCGGUAGCACAGAGAGCUUGCUCUCGGGUGACGAGCGGCGGACGGGUGAGUAAUGUCUGGGAAACUGCCUGAUGGAGGGGGAUAACUACUGGAAACGGUAGCUAAUACCGCAUAACGUCGCAAGACCAAAGUGGGGGACCUUCGGGCCUCAUGCCAUCAGAUGUGCCCAGAUGGGAUUAGCUAGUAGGUGGGGUAACGGCUCACCUAGGCGACGAUCCCUAGCUGGUCUGAGAGGAUGACCAGCCACACUGGAACUGAGACACGGUCCAGACUCCUACGGGAGGCAGCAGUGGGGAAUAUUGCACAAUGGGCGCAAGCCUGAUGCAGCCAUGCCGCGUGUGUGAAGAAGGCCUUCGGGUUGUAAAGCACUUUCAGCGGGGAGGAAGGCGUUAAGGUUAAUAACCUUGUCGAUUGACGUUACCCGCAGAAGAAGCACCGGCUAACUCCGUGCCAGCAGCCGCGGUAAUACGGAGGGUGCAAGCGUUAAUCGGAAUUACUGGGCGUAAAGCGCACGCAGGCGGUCUGUCAAGUCGGAUGUGAAAUCCCCGGGCUCAACCUGGGAACUGCAUUCGAAACUGGCAGGCUAGAGUCUUGUAGAGGGGGGUAGAAUUCCAGGUGUAGCGGUGAAAUGCGUAGAGAUCUGGAGGAAUACCGGUGGCGAAGGCGGCCCCCUGGACAAAGACUGACGCUCAGGUGCGAAAGCGUGGGGAGCAAACAGGAUUAGAUACCCUGGUAGUCCACGCCGUAAACGAUGUCGAUUUGGAGGUUGUGCCCUUGAGGCGUGGCUUCCGGAGCUAACGCGUUAAAUCGACCGCCUGGGGAGUACGGCCGCAAGGUUAAAACUCAAAUGAAUUGACGGGGGCCCGCACAAGCGGUGGAGCAUGUGGUUUAUUCGAUGCAACGCGAGAACCUUACCUGGUCUUGACAUCCACAGAACUUUCCAGAGAUGGAUUGGUGCCUUCGGGAACUGUGAGACAGGUGCUGCAUGGCUGUCGUCAGCUCGUGUUGUGAAAUGUUGGGUUAAGUCCCGCAACGAGCGCAACCCUUAUCCUUUGUUGCCAGCGGUUCGGCCGGGAACUCAAAGGAGACUGCCAGUGAUAAACUGGAGGAAGGUGGGGAUGACGUCAAGUCAUCAUGGCCCUUACGACCAGGGCUACACACGUGCUACAAUGGCAUAUACAAAGAGAAGCGACCUCGCGAGAGCAAGCGGACCUCAUAAAGUAUGUCGUAGUCCGGAUUGGAGUCUGCAACUCGACUCCAUGAAGUCGGAAUCGCUAGUAAUCGUAGAUCAGAAUGCUACGGUGAAUACGUUCCCGGGCCUUGUACACACCGCCCGUCACACCAUGGGAGUGGGUUGCAAAAGAAGUAGGUAGCUUAACCUUCGGGAGGGCGCUUACCACUUGGAUCAAAAUGG